UCUUAUGGAUGAGCAAAGAAAGUGGUUUCUUGAGGUAGAAUCCAGUCCUGGUAAAGAUGUUGUGAA
rnacentral:pre_miRNA from 5 species